rnacentral:rRNA from 1 species
AGCGAACGCUGGCGGCAGGCCUAACACAUGCAAGUCGAACGAACUCUUCGGAGUUAGUGGCGGACGGGUGAGUAACACGUGGGAACGUGCCUUUUGGUUCGGAAUAACUCAGGGAAACUUGCGCUAAUACCGAAUGUGCCCUUCGGGGGAAAGAUUUAUCGCCAUUAGAGCGGCCCGCGUCUGAUUAGCUAGUUGGUGAGGUAACGGCUCACCAAGGCGACGAUCAGUAGCUGGUCUGAGAGGAUGACCAGCCACACUGGGACUGAGACACGGCCCAGACUCCUACGGGAGGCAGCAGUGGGGAAUCUUGCGCAAUGGGCGAAAGCCUGACGCAGCCAUGCCGCGUGAAUGAUGAAGGUCUUAGGAUUGAAAAAUUCUUUCACCGGGGACGAUAAUGACGGUACCCGGAGAAGAAGCCCCGGCUAACUUCGUG